CCACGGGCUGUCGCUCUGCAGUCGACGGCAGCGCGAGAGAGCUUGCUCUCUUGGCGGCGAGUGGCGGACGGGUGAGUAAUAUAUCGGAACGUGCCCAGUAGCGGGGGAUAACUACUCGAAAGAGUGGCUAAUACCGCAUACGCCCUACGGGGGAAAGGGGGGGAUCGCAAGACCUCUCACUAUUGGAGCGGCCGAUAUCGGAUUAGCUAGUUGGUGGGGUAAAGGCUCACCAAGGCAACGAUCCGUAGCUGGUUUGAGAGGACGACCAGCCACACUGGGACUGAGACACGGCCCAGACUCCUACGGGAGGCAGCAGUGGGGAAUUUUGGACAAUGGGGGAAACCCUGAUCCAGCCAUCCCGCGUGUAUGAUGAAGGCCUUCGGGUUGUAAAGUACUUUUGGCAGAGAAGAAAAGGUAUCCCCUAAUACGGGAUACUGCUGACGGUAUCUGCAGAAUAAGCACCGGCUAACUACGUGCCAGCAGCCGCGGUAAUACGUAGGGUGCAAGCGUUAAUCGGAAUUACUGGGCGUAAAGCGUGUGUAGGCGGUUCGGAAAGAAAGAUGUGAAAUCCCAGGGCUCAACCUUGGGAACUGCAUUUUUAACUGCCGAGCUAGAGUAUGUCAGAGGGGGGGUAGAAUUCCACGUGUAGCAGUGAAAUGCGUAAAUAUGUGGAGGAAUACCGAUGGCCAAGGCAGCCUCCCUGGGAUAAUACUGACGCUCAGACACGAAAGCGUGUGGAGCAGACAGAUUAGAUACCCUGGUAGUCCACGCCCUAACGAUGUCUACUAGCUGAUUGGGGCCGUUAGGCCUUACUAGCGCAGCUUAACGCGUGAAGCUGACCGACCUGGGGAGUACGGUCGCAAGCAUUAAGAACUUCAAACGGAAUUGACUGGGCAACCCCGCACAAGCCGUUGGAUGAUGGUGGGAUUUAUUCGAAUGCAACGCUGAAAAGGCUUACCUAUCCUUGACAUGGUCUGGGAAGCCAUAAAACAGUUUGGUCUGAUGCUCGCAAGUACAAACUGGCACCUAUCAUCGUGCUUGCAAUGCGUGAUCUUCAACUCGUGUCCGUGAGAUGAUGAUUUAACGUCCAGGAUCGA
rnacentral:rRNA from 1 species